rnacentral:rRNA from 1 species
GUGAGGAAUAUUGGACAAUGGGCGCAAGCCUGAUCCAGCCAUGCCGCGUGCAGGAAGACGCAUCUAUGGUGUGUAAACUGCUUUUGUACGGGAAGAAACACUCCCUCGUGAGGGAGCUUGACGGUACCGUAAGAAUAAGGAUCGGCUAACUCCGUGCCAGCAGCCGCGGUAAUACGGAGGAUACAAGCGUUAUCCGGAAUCAUUGGGUUUAAAGGGUCCGUAGGCGGCUUAAUAAGUCAGUGGUGAAAGCCCAUCGCUCAACGAUGGAACGGCCAUUGAUACUGUUAGAAGUGAAUUACAAGGAAGUAACUAGAAUAUGUAGUGUAGCGGUGAAAUGCUUAGAUAUUACAUGGAAUACCAAUUGCGAAGGCAGGUUACUACUUGUGGAUUGACGCUGAUGGACGAAAGCGUGGGGAGCGAACAGGAUUAGAUACCCCAGUAGUCC